CAAAAUCAAGAAACAGAAAAGAAAAAAUUAAUCGGAAAAAAUGGAGCGGAAAUGUGCAAAGCUUUUGUUCAUAAUGGGCAUUAUUUUGGCAACGUCUGCAACAACUUUAGCAGAAAAACUUGAUAAGAAAUCAUGUCUCUCAACCUGCGAAGAUUACUGUAAAGAUAAACCAAAUGCAAAAAGCUGUGUAAUUGGUUGCGUUGAAAAGUUUUGCACUCCUCCCAAGUUGGAUUCUUACUGCAAUAUCGCUUGCCUUCUUCACAAAUGCGCCAAAACUACGCCAGAGCAAAUCUCAAGCUGUGAAGAUGCAUGUUCAAACGUUUGUUCAUGAAGUUCAUGAUUGAUCUUAGCGUUUAAGGAGAUGAUGUUAAAGAAUAUGUGUUUCAAGUCAUAUACUCUUUGUUUUGAAUAAGAAAUUAAUUGGUGUUAUUUCUCA